rnacentral:lncRNA from 1 species
AUGACUUUCCACCCUGUGCUGGUGGUGGGCCAGGCUCCCUUAACCAAUUCAGGUGGGUGGGUAGGGGUUGGAAUUGAGACCAGUUCAAAUGCUCUCUUUAGGAUGUUUCCCCGGGGGCACCAUCUCCCUACUAUCCCCUCCCAUUUCUUCUCUUCACAGUUGGUCAUUGUAUUUUUUUAUGGCAUCUAUUUGUUUAAUGCCUGUCUCCCCGACUGGAAUGUGAACUCCCUGAGGGCAGGCACCCCGCUUUGUUCACCACUGUGUUCCCAGGGCUCUUCACAGUGCCCCGCACAAAGUGCAGCUCAUUGGAGAGUGAAGAACAAUGAAGGGACAGACAGAGGGAUGGGCGGACACAGCCUCAGACAAAGGAAGAAGGAAAGAGAAAGAGGCCACCCUUGUGCUGGGUCUGGGAGAGAAGGGAGCCAGUAUCUUUUACGGAGCUGCGAGAUUGUCACACAACCUGGGAAUGAGCAACCUACGUGCUUCCUAAUCCAAAGUUGGUCACGACAAGACAAAAUCUUUCAUCAGUCUAGAUUGACACGGAGAACAGCUGGAAUUCUUCCCAAGACAUCUUCAAUAAGAAAAGGAGCUCUGCUCAUGUGUGAUCGGAGGGAUGGAAGCAAGACUGGAGUACCAGGACCCUGGGUGGAGACAAGCCUGGCUUGUACCCCUGACUCCCCCUCUGCUGACUGCACACACCUCACUCUCCCAGAGUCCGGAGGCUUUCCAGUCAGAGGCCAAGUCCUAAGGAAGGAAGUUCAGGAGCCCAGAGCUGGGAGGCAACUCACUGGGUCUGCACAUUCUUCCUAGAUUAGUAACACACAUUCUCUUGCUAGUUCAUUGUGAGCGAGUUGGGAGCGCUUUCCUUUUUCUCUUUUAGGGAGGUCAUGUCACGAUUCUACACACGCUUCUAAUUGCAGUCCCCCCCCCCCCCCCACCUCCCGCCUCCCGCAGAAACGAAUGGAGCAUUUUCCAGGUCAGAUUGGUGUUUAGUCAUCUGGACACGAGUCCCCCCUUCCUCUUGCCUUAAUCUUUCCCAGGCUGGAUUCUGUCUUUGAAACAAUAGGAAAUGACAAGGUCUAUUUUUCUUUUCUUGAAAGGACUCAAACCAUGGAGUCAUGAGUUGGAACGGAGAAAGUACGGGGAAUGAAUCUGUACCCCCAAUAGGAAGUGACCAACUUUCCUCCUUUUGUUCUGCCCGAGUCCAGCGGGCUGAGCUCAUGAUAUGCCAGAGAAUUUGCUUAAAAGCAGGAAGGCGGCAUGUUCACCUCAAGAUAAAUUCCCAGUUGGAUUGUCUGUUGGACCCACUCUGAGAUGCAGUCAGGCUGUGAGCGGUCUUCAAGCAAAGAUUGGGAACCUUUCAAAGAGGGGGUCUGCUAGGAGAAUUCCUGGGGCCCUGGAUGAUCUUAAGGCACCCCCUGUGAGCCAGUUACUAGAUGAGCUUUCUAAGUGUUGAUUUUUGGGGCGCCUGGGUGGCUCAGUGGUUGAGCGUCUGCCUUUGGCUCAGCUCGUGACCCUGGGGUCCUGGGAUCAAGUCCCGCAUCGGGCUCCCCCACGGAGCCUGCUUCUCCCUCUGCCUAUGUCUCUGCCUCUCUCUGUGUCUUUCAUGAAUAAAAUCUUUUUUAAAAAUGUGUUGAUUUUCAUUUCUCUGACAGAAUUAAGCUGUAAUUUGCUAUUUCCAAGAUAUUGUGCGUAACUGGAUAGUGAUCAGUCACAUCAGAAGCAAUUACUGUUCCAAGAGUUUGAGGCCAGGCCCUGCUGGCUGAGGGUGGGCUGGAUAGGUGAGUCCCUUAUCACCCGGGAAGGAUGCUGCCCAAGGACUGUGAUGCCAUCCUUCCUGCCACGUGUCAGACUGGUCCCGUGGCCUGGAGCCCAGAUCCACCUCUGGUGCCCUGCGCCGCCGUCAGCCUGUUUUCCCACGGCACCUCCCUACUCUGGCUCUUCCCCAUUCCCAAACGUGCCCUUCCGGCUCCCACCUUCUGGCCUCUCACUGCUGCUUGUCUCUGCACCUCCCCACCUCGAUUCACCUUUCAAAAUUCUGCUUGUUCCAGGACACCUGGGUGGCUCAGUGGUUGAGCGCUUCCCUUCAGCUCACGGCGUGAUCCUGGAGACUGGGAUCGAGUCCCGCAUUGGGCUCCCUGCAUGGAGCCUGCUUCUCCCUCUGCCUGUGUCUCUGCCUCUCUCUGUGUGUCUCUCAUGAAUAAAUAAAUAAAAUCUUAAAAAAAAAUUCUGCUCAUUCCUUGAGGACCAGGCUGAGCAUCCUUGCCAUCUCUCUUUGCUCUCAGGCCACCUGCUUUGACCAUUUACUGUCAUUCUUCUACCUUGUUUGUGAAGCCAGGACGUCCAGAGGAUAAAGGAAAAGUCGGCUCUGCUCCUGGGUUCCAUGGAGAUGUGAGACACUGAAGGAAGACGAAGAGGAGGGGGGAAGGGAGUGAGAUCGUGGUGACCCAGUCCCAGGGCAGUGGGGACAAGGCUCCUGAGGUGCGAUGGGCCUGGCCUGACAUUUCUCUGGACUCUUCCUUGGGUGCUGGUAGGCUGCUAGAUUGGUGGGUGGGUGGCCGCUCUGCUAGGUAAGCCCCACUCUUCUCAAGAGACAAAGAAAGAGGAACUAGCGGCAGCCUCAGUGCCCCAAGGAGUGCCGGUGGCAGCAGCUGUGACAGGAUGUGGCCAGGGCAGGGGAGGUGGACUGGGCUCCCGAGGCCGGGGCUCUGCAGUGGGUAGGAACUCACGAACAUUGGGCUGCAGCUCCGGCUGGCUGCCUGUGCCUCACACCAGGGCAACAGAGGCCUCAGGCAUCCCCCAGAAGGUGAGUGGAGGUGGUGUAAGUGGUACCCGGAUCCCACACAUCUGAGCCUGGGAUCUGGAUCUGAUUUCACUGCCUGGUCGAUGAGGCCCAAGGAAAUACCUGCCGUGUUCACUGCAGUGAGUUGGGCUCAUGUCUGUGUGUCUGAAUGACCCACUGGCUCAGCAUCCCCCAACAGAACCGUCCACCCUGUCCAAGCAGUAGCCACUGGCCAUGUGGCUCCUGACCACUUGGAAUGUGACUGGUGUGAUUGGGAAGCGGACUUCUGUAUUUCAUCAACCGAUUCGGAUUUAAAUUUAGACAACCACGAGUGGCUAGUGGCUCCAUUCUGGACAGAGCUGCCUAGGAU